rnacentral:misc_RNA from 1 species
GUAGGUGAACCUGCGGAAGGAUCAUUAACACGUAUCCAACGUUAAACCCCCCUGUGAACUUUCAGCCUGCUCUUGUGGCUUGUAGGGUUAAGCAGCAAUCUCGGUAAAUCAAGUGGGAGAAACAGUUCUGAUUCGAGACCUCUGUGUCAUUACGGUUAUGAUUGAAGCGGUAGAAGCAGUGGCAUGGCGCUCCAGUGAAUGACAGCGUCACUGGAACAAGUGAGGGAUAACGCUUAUUCGGUUGCUAGAGGUCGCUCACCGACCGGCAGACAUGUCACAGGGCCUUGCGCCCCCUUAACCACCCCUUUGCCAAUGCACUAGCCCGGGGCGAAAGUCCGAGGCAUUAAACCGAGCAACUGUUAACAAUGGAUAUCUUGGUUCUC